rnacentral:rRNA from 1 species
CACGUAGGGGGCAAGCGUUGUCCGGAUUUAUUGGGCGUAAAGAGCUCGUAGGUGGCUUAGUAAGUCGGGUGUGAAACCUCCAGGCUCAACCUGGAGACGCCACCCGAUACUGCUAUAGCUUGAGUCCGGUAGGGGAGCGUGGAAUUCCUGGUGUAGCGGUGAAAUGCGCAGAUAUCAGGAGGAACACCGAUGGCGAAGGCAGGUCUCUGGGCAUUAACUGACGCUGAGGAGCGAAAGCAUGGGGAGCGAACAGG